rnacentral:rRNA from 1 species
UGGGGAAUUUUCCGCAAUGGGCGAAAGCCUGACGGAGCGACGCCGCGUGGAGGAUGAAGGAUUUCGGUCUGUAAACUCCUGUCAGGGGGGACGAUGAUGACGGUACCCCCAAAGGAAGCAUCGGCUAACUACGUGCCAGCAGCCGCGGUAAGACGUAGGAUGCAAGCGUUGUUCGGAAUUAUUGGGCGUAAAGCGUGCGUAGGCGGCUUGUUAAGUCUGGUGUGAAAGCUAGGGGCUCAACCCCUGUGUUGCACUGGAAACUGGCAGGCUUGAGUGCGGUAGGGGAAGGUGGAAUUCCGAGUGUAGCGGUGAAAUGCGUAGAUAUUCGGAAGAACACCGGUGGCGAAGGCGACCUUCUGGGCCGCCACUGACGCUGAGGCACGAAAGCGUGGGGAGCAAACGGGAUUAGAUACCCCCGUAGUCC